rnacentral:rRNA from 1 species
GUAGGUGGCAGGCGUUGUCCGGGAAUUAUUGGGGCGUAAAGCGCGCGCAGGCGGUUCUUUAAGUCUGAUGUGAAAGCCCACGGGCUCAACCGUGGAGGGUCAUUGGAAACUGGAGAACUUGAGUACAGAAGAGGAAAGCGGAAUUCCACGUGUAGCGGUGAAAUGCGUAGAGAUGUGGAGGAACACCAGUGGCGAAGGCGGCUUUCUGGUCUGUAACUGACGCUGAGGCGCGAAAGCGUGGGGAGCAAACAGGAUUAGAUACCCUGGUAGUCCACGCCGUAAACGAUGAGUGCUAAGUGUUAGGGGGUUUCCGCCCCUUAGUGCUGCAGCUAACGCAUUAAGCACUCCGCCUGGGGAGUACGGCCGCAAAGGCUGA